rnacentral:lncRNA from 1 species
CCCCCACCCCCGCCCCGGCCCUUUGUACAGCAAUUGCAACAAGUGGGAGCAGAGGGUGAGAGGAGCCGGGGCCACCAGGGAGGGAGGGCGCGCCGGCAGCCGGAAGGGAGUGGGGAGGGCACGAGCCGGGGAGAGCGGUGUUGGCCAUGGAGACGUGGGGAGACUGGAGGCCGAGGCUUGGGGACCCGACUGUCAUCAGGGUCUUCCGCCAGACCCUGGGCGCUGCGCCCUCAGAGGCCGAUGAAAAGAAGCAGAAGGGAGAGGUCACACCGACAAAUCUGAAGCGGGUUUGCCAGGGGAGUGUACCCGUCUCCCCAGCCUGGGCCACCCGGUCCACAGGGAUUCCAUUUCCGGCCUUACACUCCGCUCCACGAUCUCAUCCAGGCGCUGCAGCUGUGCAGCUGCUCUACAGACUGCAGGGACCUGCUGAGACGAAUCCCCGGACGAGGAAAGGGGCCCCCCGCCUGCCCUACUGAGCCUUGCGCGCUGACCCGGUUCCUACACUUAACUUUUCCGGCUUCGGGUUUAAGACGCGUGCGCGCACACUCCGCUGCUGUGGGCGGGCAUUGGGGCGGGGCGAUACCGGGGGCCCACUGUCUGGGGAGGGGCGCGCGCGAGCCCAGGGCCAACGGACGCGCGGGCGGCG